rnacentral:rRNA from 1 species
AUUGAACGCUGGCGGCAGGCCUAACACAUGAAAGUCGAACGCGUGGCGGACGGGUGAGUAAUGUAUGGGAAACUGCCUGCUGGCGGGGGAUAACUACUGGAAACGGUCGCUAAUACCGCAUCCCAUCGGCUGGUCCAAGAUGGUAUUAGCUAGUAGGGGGGGUAAAGGCCCACCUAGGCGACGAUCCCUAGAUGGUCUGACAGGAUGACCAGCACAACUGGAACUGAGACACGGACCAGACUCCUACGUGAGGCAGCAGUGGUGAAUAUUGCACAAUGGGCGCAAGCCUGACGCAGCCAUGCCGCGUUGAUGAAGAAGGCCUUCGGAUUGUACAGUCCUGUCAGUGGGGAGGCGUUACCCAAAGAAGAAGAACCGGCUAACUCCGUGCCAGCAGCCGCGGUAAUAC